rnacentral:rRNA from 1 species
GACGAAGGUGGCAAGCGUUGUUCGGAAUCACUGGGCUUAAAGCGCAUGUAGGCGGCCCGAUAAGUGCCUUGUGAAAUCCCUCGGCUCAACCGAGGAAUUGCUUGGUAGACUGUCAGGCUUGAGGCAGGUAAGGGUGAGAGGAACUCUUGGUGGAGCGGUGAAAUGCGUAGAUAUCAAGAGGAACGCCGGAGACGAAGGUGUCUCACUGGGCCUGUCCUGACGCUGAGGUGCGAAAGCCAGGGGAG